AAUCAACGCUGGCGGCGUGCCUCAGACAUGCAAGUCGGACGAUUAAAGCUCUCUUCGGAGAGUGUAUAGAGUGGCGCACGGGUGAGUAACACGUAAGUAAUCUACCCUCGAGUGGGGAAUAACGUCCGGAAACGGACGCUAAUACCGCAUAAUGCAGCGGCACCGCAAGGUGACAGUUGUUAAAGGAGAAAUUCGCUUGAGGAGGAGCUUGCGGCAGAUUAGCUUGUUGGUAAGGUAACGGCUUACCAAGGCUACGAUCUGUAACCGGUCUUAGAGGACGGUCGGUCACACUGACACUGAAUAACGGGUCAGACUCCUACGGGAGGCAGCAGUCGGGAAUUUUGGGCAAUGGGCGAAAGCCUGACCCAGCAACGCCGCGUGAAGGAUGAAGUAUUUCGGUAU
rnacentral:rRNA from 1 species